GACGAACGCUGGCGGCGCGCCUAAUACAUGCAAGUCGAGCGCAGGAAGUCAUCCGAACCCUUCGGGGGGACGUUGACGGAAUGAGCGGCGGACGGGUGAGUAACACGUAAAGAACCUGCCCUCAGGUCUGGGAUAACCACGAGAAAUCGGGGCUAAUACCGGAUGGGUCAUCGGACCGCAUGGUCCGAGGAUGAAAGGCGCUCCGGCGUCGCCUGGGGAUGGCUUUGCGGUGCAUUAGCUAGUUGGUGGGGUAAUGGCCCACCAAGGCGACGAUGCAUAGCCGACCUGAGAGGGUGAUCGGCCACACUGGGACUGAGACACGGCCCAGACUCCUACGGGAGGCAGCAGUAGGGAAUCUUCCACAAUGGACAAAAGUCUGAUGGAGCAACGCCGCGUGAACGAUGAAGGCCCUCGGGUCGUAAAGUUCUGUUGUAAGGGAAGAACAAGUGCCGCAGGAAAUGGCGGCACCUUGACGGUACCUGGCGAGAAAGCCACGGCUAACUACGUG
rnacentral:rRNA from 1 species